UGAGGAAUUUUGCGCAAUGGGAGCAAUCCUGACGCAGCAACGCCGCGUGGAUGAAGAAGGCCUUCGGGUUGUAAAGUUCUUUUAUAUGGGAUGAGGAAGGACAGUACCAUAUGAAUAAGUCUCGGCUAACUACGUGCCAGCAGCCGCGGUAAAACGUAGGAGACGAGCGUUAUCCGGAUUUACUGGGCGUAAAGAGCGUGUAGGAGGCAAUACAAGUUGGAUGUAAAAGCUCUCGGCUAAACUGAGAGAGGACGUUCAAGACUGUAGAGCUAGAGGAAGGCAGAGGUAGAUGGAACUCCGGGAGUAGUGGUGAAAUGCGUAGAUAUCCGGAAGAACACCAGAGGCGAAAGCGAUCUACUGGGCCUUAACAGACACUGAGACGCGAAAGCCAGGGUAGCAAACG
rnacentral:rRNA from 1 species